rnacentral:lncRNA from 1 species
AUGAGUAAGUACUCUGGUGUGAACAGUCUUCUCAAUGCGCUCCCUCUGCCUUUCUCCUUUCCUGAUGCUGACGCACGAUCAGCGCUGUCCUCCCAACAGAACCUGUCCCUCUCUCCUGGUGUCACCCCCGACAGAACCUGUCCCUCUCUCCUGGUGUCACCCCUGACAGAACCUGUCCCUCUCUCCUGGUGUCACCCCCAACAGAACCGGUCCCUCUCUCCUGGUGUCACCCCUGACAGAACCUGUCCUUAUCUCCUCUUGUCACCCCCAACAGAACCUGUCCCUCUCUCCUGGUGUCACCCCCGACAGAACCUGUCCCUCUCUCUUGGUGUCACCCCUGACAGAACCUGUCCUUAUCUCCUCUUGUCACCCCCAACAGAACCUGUCCCUUCUCCUGGUGUCACCCCCAACAGAACCUGUCCCUCUCUUAUUUCCUCUUGUCACCCCCGACAGAACCUGUCCUUAUCUCCUCUUGUCACCCCCUUAUCUCCUGUCACCCCCAACAGAACCUGUCCCUCCUCCUGUCACCCCCGACAGAACCUGUUCUCUCUCCUGGUGUCAUCCCCGACAGAACCUGUCCCUCCUGAUGUCACCCCUGACAGAACCUGUCCCUCUCUCCUGGUGUCACCCCCAACAGAACCUGUCCCUUUCUCCUGGUCACCCCGACAGAACCUGUCCCUCUCUCCUGGUGUCACCCCUGACAGAACCUGUCCCUCUCUCCUGGUGUCACCCCCGACAGAACCUGUCCCUAUCUCCUCAUGUCACCCCCAACAGAACCUGUCCCUCUCUCCUGGUGUCACCCCUGACAGAACCUGUCCCUUUCUCCUGGUCACCCCGACAGAACCUGUCCCUCUCUCCUGGUGUCACCCCUGA